UUAAAUGGUUUUUUAAAAGGAAGAACCAUAUCAAAAUUUGUUGUGUUUCUGCAACUUCUUACACUCUACACACAUGUCCUGUAUUCUGAUUUUUAUUUCAGUAUUCAAGACCAAUUAAUGAAAUAUUUGGGUCAAGAUAGAAGAAAACAACAGCUGAAUUGCACCCAUCAGCAGGAGGCAGCUCAGUGCAAUUUAAUGGAGCAAAGUGUAGGCCAGCUGAAGCCCUAACUUUUCCUAUAUGACUUUAAAUUCAUCAUCUUCCUUGAUGAAAAGGAAUAUUGCUUCCUCCAAAGGAGGAAUUCACCACUUCUUCCUGCUUAAAAUUUUUUCUAUUUUUUAAAUCAACACUACACAUUCCCAGUUUUCCUCCUUCUCAGUAAUCAUUACUGGUUUAUCCUUCUUGCUAGGCUUUGGAAAUGUUUAAGUUUUAGAGGGCUUCUUCUAACACUGUACUCCAUAAGCAGUCUCAACCUGGUGCAUAGUGUCUGUGAUCCAUACCUAAUCCAGACCAGUAGGCUUCCCAGGCAUCUCAAACUUCUAUCCACACUGAAUCUUCCUCCCAAAUCUUGGCCUCUGGGGGCCGCUUCUACUAUAAUUUGUAUGCCCUAGAGCAU
rnacentral:lncRNA from 1 species